CCUACGGGAGGCAGCAGUAGGGACUCUUCCACAAUGGACGAAAGUCUGAUGGAGCAACGCCGCGUGAGUGAAGAAGGGUUUCGGCUCGUAACGCUCUGUUGGUAGUGAAGAAAGAUAGAGGUAGUAAAUGGCCUUUAUUUGACGGUAAGUCCUUAGAAAGUCACGGCUAACUACGUGCCAGCCACAUCGGUCAUACGUAGGUGGCAAGCGUUGUCCGGAUUUAUUGGGGGUAAAGGGUGCGUAGGUGGUGUGGCAAGUUAGUAGAGUAACUUCAAGGCUCAACCUUUGAACUACUACUAAAACUGGUGGACGUGAGUGCAGGAGGGGCAACCGGAAUUCCUAGUGUAGCGGUGGAAUGCGUAGAUAUUAGGAGGAACACCAGUGGCGAAGGCGGGUUGAUAGACUGUAACUGACACUGAGGCACGAAAGCGUGGGGAGCAAACAGGAUUAGAUACCCUUGUAGUC
rnacentral:rRNA from 1 species